rnacentral:rRNA from 1 species
UAACGAAUAUUGGGCAAUGGGCGAAAGCCUGACCCAGCAAUGCCGCGUGCAGGACGAAGUCCUUCGGGAUGUAAACUGCUGUCAGGGGUCCGCAAGCGAAGGGGUCCAACAGGCCCUGGAGUUGAGCAGCCCCAGAGGAAGCCUCGACUAACUCUGUGCCAGCAGUCGCGGUAAGACAGAGGAGGCAAGCGUUGUUCGGAAUCACUGGGCUUAAAGAGCGUGUAGGCGGCUUAGAAAGUGUCGUGUGAAAUCCCGCGGCUCAACCGCGGAACGGCACGGCAAACUGCUUGGCUUGAGGUCGGUAGAGGGGCCUGGAACUCUAGGUGGAGCGGUGAAAUGCGUAGAUAUCUAGAGGAACGCCAGAAGCGAAAGCGGGGCACUGGGCCGAUUCUGACGCUGAGACACGAAAGCGUGGGGAGCAAACA